rnacentral:rRNA from 1 species
GAUGAACGCUGGCGGCGUGCUUAACACAUGCAAGUCGAACGGUGAACACGGAGCUUGCUCUGUGGGAUCAGUGGCGAACGGGUGAGUAACACGUGAGCAACCUGCCCCUGACUCUGGGAUAAGCGCUGGAAACGGCGUCUAAUACUGGAUAUGUGACGUGACCGCAUGGUCUGCGUUUGGAAAGAUUUUUCGGUUGGGGAUGGGCUCGCGGCCCAUCAGCUUGUUGGUGAGGUAAUGGCUCACCAAGGCGUCGACGGGUAGCCGGCCUGAGAGGGUGACCGGCCACACUGGGACUGAGACACGGCCCAGACUCCUACGGGAGGCAGCAGUGGGGAAUAUUGCACAAUGGGCGCAAGCCUGAUGCAGCAACGCCGCGUGAGGGAUGACGGCCUUCGGGUUGUAAACCUCUUUUAGCAGGGAAGAAGCGAAAGUGACGGUACCUGCAGAAAAAGCGCCGGCUAACUACGUG